AUCUGGCUGACGAAUCCCAAAUAGAACGAAACGCGCGUCUUGGAU
rnacentral:hammerhead_ribozyme from 1 species